rnacentral:rRNA from 1 species
UUCGGGGAGGACGCUCACCACUUUGUGGUUCAUGACUGGGGUGAAGUCGUAACAAGGUAGCCCUAGGGGAACCUGGGGCUGGAUCACCUCCUUAUACGAAGAUAC